rnacentral:rRNA from 1 species
AUUUCGAAAGUAAAAGAUCUAAAUGGUUUUGUUGUUUUUUGUGUCAAAAAAAUUUUUUAAAAUUAUUUAGUUGUAAAAUGUGAAUCGUUUUUACUAAUAUCUAAUAACUUUAUAAAAAAAUUUAGUUUAAAUUGUUGAGAAUUUCUUAGUUUAUAUACAUGGGUAUGUUUUAGGGGAUGAGCUCUAAAGUAAAAUUAUAAGAAUAAAUUAUGUAAAAUUUUUAGUAGGUUUAGAAUUGGCCAUAAGAUAGUGUUAUAAGAUAAAAAUUAAAGUUUAAAAUUUAUUUUUCUUUUAUUUAUAUGAAGUUAAUUAGUAAAUAUGGAAUAUUUUGAAAAUAUGAUAGUAUUAGUAGAAAUUUUUUUGAAUUUUUCAAUAUAUAAGAAAGAUCAUAAAUAAAAUAAAAGAACUCGGCAAAUAAGAUUUCCGAAUGUUUAACAAAAACAUUUCCUCUUAAAUAAGGGAGGUAAGGCCUGCUCACUGAAAUUUAAAGAGCCGCAGUAUUCUGACUGUGCUAAGGUAGCAUAAUCAUUAGUCUUUUAAUUGGAGACUGGUAUGAAUGGUUAAACGAGAAAUCGACUUUUUUUGUUUUAAUAAUUGAAUUUAAUUUUUUAGUGAAAAAGCUAAAAUUGUUUAGAAAGACGAGAAGACCCUAUAGAGUUUUAUAUUUUUUUGAAUUUUUUUUUAGUUGAUUAGGAAAAGUAAAAUUUGAAAAUAAUAUUUUGUUGGGGCGACGUUAAGAUAAGAAAAACUCUUUUUAAAAAAAAUUUUUAUAAAAAAUUUGUUUGAUCCUUUAGAAAAGAUUAAAAGAAAAAAUUACCUUAGGGAUAACAGCGUAAUCUUUUUGGAGAGUUCUAAUCGAUAAAAAGGUUUGCGACCU